UACGUAGGUGGUGAGCGUUAUCCGGAAUGAUUGGGCGUAAAGGGUGCGUAGAUGGUUGAUAUAAGUCUUUUGUAAAAAUGCUAGGCUCAACCUAGUAGGGCAAAAGAUACUGAUGAACUAGAGUACGGCAGAGGCAAGUGGAACUACAUGUGUAGCGGUAAAAUGCGUAAAUAUAUGUAAGAACACCGGUGGCGAAGGCGGCUUGCUGGGCCUGUUGCUGACGCUGAGGCACGAAAGCGUGGGGAGCAAACAGG
rnacentral:rRNA from 1 species